UUUUGAGGUUUCCUAUUUCCACUAGGAAUAGAACUUUUGGAGAGUCUACAAAUAUAGUUGUAAUUCCUACUUUUCAAUAGAGUUGAUAAUUUAUUGAACUUGGCAAGUCCUUGCUUUGCAGAUUGUGUGAUGCAAUUCAUCUUUGGUGUGAUGCUUAAGAAACCCUAGAUGUGUUGCUUAGGCAAUUUUGAGUGCAAUGCCUAAAUAUUUAUUCUUUAUUGUGGGACUUGGUCCUACAUCAAAGCCAUGAAAUGUUUUUGACAUUAGAUUGUUUGAUGCUUGAGUUAAAUAAUGAAUCAAGGAAAUUGAUUGACUCAUAUCUAAUCGGUGAAAUCAACGGUGAAUUACUUUAAUCACAUAUCAUACAGAAUUAAUAUAUUCAUUUAAUAGAUUUAUAUACUUUAGGAGGUGAGUCUUAUUGAUGUGCUCAAUUGCAUUCUCGUGCAGGACAAAAAAAUUUCUUCGCUGCUAAUGUUGUCAUCAGUGAUUGAAACUAUUUCAGUUGUCAACGACAAAUUACAACAUUGUGUUUACUGGGGUCCAGCUCAUGAAUGGAAAAAUAUCAAGAAGCUUGAAGUAUGGCAGCUGGGGUGUGUCUCAACUGGGAGGAGGAUGCCCAAGUGAAUAGAAACACUUCUGGUAACUCUUUGGCAUUUGAAGAUCGCACAACUCAAUUCUUCCCUCCAGCUCCAAGAGUUCCUCGAAUGCCUGGACUAGUACCCAGAGAUGCUGGUUUAACUGACGAUGUUCAAGAUUCAUUUGUAGAGCUCUCAAAUUCUUCAAAGCAAUGUUUGGAUAGCCUUUGCAGUGGAGAUAAAGAUGGGGUUUUGUGCUUCAGUAUAUUUGGUGUCUUUCCAAUAGAAAAUAUUGUAAGCGUCCUGUCUGUUUAAAUAAAAUAUUUAGCUAUAUGGUCUGUCAUAUUUAGUAAAUGAGUCAUUUCCUUGUUCUUGCUUGUCCUACAACAGUUUUUCUUAAUAAAUGGAUUUGAUGGUAGAUUGACAGCAAAUCAGUAUUGCCUGGAAAAUUAGUGGGCUGGUUAAGGAAACAACUAUACCUAGGCGAGGUUAUGCUUGUAAAAGUUAUAGAUGUUUAUGCCAUUUCCUAGGCUAGAUUUCACUUCUAUUGGUCACUUCCACUUCAAAGAUGACGCCUCCAACUUUGAUACUGAACACUUAUCUGAAACUUUUUGUUGUUUGGCCUGAGGUUGGCCUACCUUGCAUACUUUUU